rnacentral:misc_RNA from 1 species
GAUGAAGAACGUAGUGAAAUGCGAUACGUAAUGUGAAUUGCAGAUUUCAGUGAAUCAUCGAAUCUUUGAACGCACAUUGCGCCCGCUAGUAUUCUGGCGGGCAUGCCUGUUCGAGCGUCAUUUCAACCAUCAAGCCCCCGGCUUGCGUUGGAGCCCUGCGGCUGCCGCAGGCUCCCAAAUCCAGUGGCGGGCUCGUCGUCGUACCGAGUGCAGUAAACAUCCUCGCUCAGGGAACGUGACGGGUUCUUGCCGUGAAACCCCCCACAUAUCAAGGUUGACCUCGGAUCAGGUAGGAAUACCCGCUGAACUUAAGCAUAUCAAUAAGCGGAGGA